GCAAAAUAGGCCAGUAGGUCAUUGGUAAUUUGAAAUUACUAAUAUUGUAAAAGUACAAGUUUUGUU
rnacentral:tRNA from 1 species